ensembl:lncRNA
AUUUAGAACAGGAGACAGCAGGUAGCUGUGUGUGGGCAGGAAGGUGAGGAGAGAGGAGCCGGUCUGCGUGGUCUAACUGGUGUUGAUGUGAAGCUUGGCACUAAUGACUGAGGAUUUCCUUGGAUACUCUUGCUCUUCUCUGUGUAGAUUGGAGAGUUUGGCAGAGGUCAGAGGUCAGAGAAGCGAGAAGAUGCACCAGGAAUGAGGGGAGCAGAGCACCACAGACGCCCCACGUUUCCAGGUGCCGUUGACCUGGAGCGAUGGCAAAAAAUAACUUGUGAAGAAAAUGAACGUGUCUAACUUGGAAUGGCAAGGAUUCACCCCACGCCAAACAAAUGGAAGCAUCAUCAGCGUCACUGUCAUCGUCGGCGUCCAGCAGACUUGUCUCCAGACGGUGAGGGAGGGAGGUCGUGUGCGUCACCAGCAGGCCAGGAAGAACGAGUCACCACGGACAGUGGGAACACCAGGUGCUCCAGAGGAUUUCCUGUCUCCAGGGCAGGGCGCUGUUUCUUGCCACACCUCUCCUCCUUGUUUCCACAAACAUCUUUGAAGAAAGGAAAUGGUACACUCAUUCCAGCCGAGCUGACGUCAGAGGUCUGGCCUCAUGUGUAACAGGCUCCGGGGUGUGUGCUGUUUAGCAGGAAAAAUUUACAAGCAAAAAAGUGUGUGGACGUCUCACCUUGAGCAAAUUCAAAACCCAUGGAGUUACAAAUACCAUCAUUGUUAUUAUCAAAGGAUUAACAGUGCACGUUUAAAAUAAAAACAAUUUAGGGUCCCAUGCUAAUUCUCAUAUCAAGCUGAGCAAUUUGGCCAGUGGACAUUCUCGCUUCUUAAUCAUUUAUUUCAUUUAUUCCCAACAAAGCCAUCCUAUCUCGUCUGCACAUUUUAUUUCCACGUGGCAGUGCCUCACCACAGUGCUUUUGUUGAUAUGAGUUAUGUUAUAUGGUAUUGUGAAAGGUAACUUUUUCCACAUUCUAAACGAAGAUUAAAAGAUCACAGUAUCCAGUCUGACGAUGAGAAAUUCAUUUCAUAAGUGAACAAUUUGCACCUGUACCCUUCCUGGAAGGCAUAGAUGCUGAUGAAGUGCCAGGGUUUGCAGAAAGUCCAAAUCCAGCCCAGAGAUGCUGUUAAAGCUCAUGGCCAGGGGCAUAAAGGCCUCACUCUGUUGCAAAGAGCCUGUUGAAGAUGAGUCUCUAAUUGACAUCUCCCGUCGUGAAGACUCCAGCUUUCAGGACAGUUGCUGGACACGUCUGCAUAGGCAAACGUUCCUGCAAACUCAACUCAAAUAAAGGAACUCUGACCUCACAGUCUCGCCCUAGACCUGAGAGGCUCGAGCAGACACGCGGCCUGAUCCUUCUGCCCGAGGAGCAACGGGAGCACCUCCCCAGUUCGCUCCAUCCGGAACAGCUCGCCCGUCGGCCACACCCACAGGUGCCGCUCCACCUGCUCAGGUUGGUGUGCUCCAGGAGUCAGCACGGCUUUUCUGUAAAGCGCUAGAUAGUAAAUAUUUUAGCCUCUGUGGGCCACAGAGUCUCUUUCGCAACCACUCAACUCUGCCAUUGUGACGAGAAAGCUGCCAUCGCCAACGAGAAAAAGAGUGUGUGGCUGCCUCAAAGAAAGGCUUAUGUGAAGCAUCAUUUGAAGCCACCAUGGGUUGUGUUCAUGUGUGUGUAAGCCCAGAAAAAAAGAAUUGCAAGAUAUAUUACAACAAUUACAAGAUAAAAAAUAAGAAUUACAAGAUAUAUAAAUUCUCUUUUCAUCAGAAAACCAAAAAGGGUAAAGAACAUGUGCAGG